GCCCAGCCGCUCAGUAGCCAUUUUGGUCCCACCUAAAACAGUCCGAACUGCUUCACUUUAGUCCGCAGGAGAUGGGAGAAACAGAACAGACUGCGGGUGUUUCAGCCUUCCGGGGAUUUACCUUCUCUCUGCCAAACUCCUACCAGUGACCCUAUAUCGGUUCUGUUUAAUCCGAACUCGGUUUGCGGGAAAAGGGAAGGUUCGGCUAUUUUUGUACCGACCGACACAGUCACACAGCGCCUUCGCGUUAGUUUAGUUAGCCUCACUGACUCUCAUGGACACCGCUUUUCCUGUCGGGAUGUGUGGAUCGGACCUCACCGGCCUGCAGUGACAUGUAACCACUGAAAAGCAGACCGUACCGCUCCGUAGUUUCUUCUUUUUUUUUUUUCUUUGCUCUUCCUGAGAGCUCAGGUGCUCGGCACAAACACGUCCGGUCUGCGAGAGUCGUCACGAUCCAUGCCGAGACCGUUUUCCGGAGAGAGCUGCAGAGCGAAUUAGGGUCUGUUGGUUUUGGGAGGUCGGGCUGGCGUUUGGACAUCGGAAAACAAGAGUUUUGAAGGAAGACGGCCGAGAAGAUGUCAACCAAAACUCCCUUACCCACGGUCAACGAAAAGGUGACGGAAAGUCACACCUCGCACAGCAACGGCCGCUCGGACCUCGGCACGCGCUCCAGCCGGACCGGCGUUCGAACCCGCAGCUCCGACGAGUCGCAGCCACCCCACGUCGGAAACUACCGCCUGCUCAAAACCAUCGGCAAGGGCAACUUCGCCAAAGUCAAACUGGCCCGGCACAUCCUCACAGGCAGGGAGGUGGCAAUUAAGAUCAUAGACAAGACUCAGCUGAACCCCAACAGCCUACAGAAGCUCUUCAGAGAAGUCCGAAUAAUGAAGAUCUUGAAUCAUCCUAAUAUUGUCAAACUGUUUGAGGUGAUCGAAACGGACCGGACGCUCUACCUGGUCAUGGAGUACGCCAGCGGAGGAGAGGUGUUCGACUACCUGGUUGCACAUGGAAGAAUGAAGGAAAAAGAGGCCAGAGCUAAAUUUAGACAGAUCGUGUCAGCGGUGCAGUACUGCCACCAGAAGCACAUCGUUCACCGUGACCUCAAGGCCGAGAACCUCCUCCUCGACGCAGACAUGAACAUAAAGAUCGCAGAUUUUGGCUUCAGCAACGAGUUCACCCUGGGCAACAAGCUGGACACGUUCUGCGGCUCGCCGCCGUACGCGGCGCCGGAGCUGUUCCAGGGCAAGAAAUACGACGGGCCGGAGGUGGACGUGUGGAGUCUGGGGGUCAUCCUGUACACGCUGGUCAGCGGCUCGCUGCCCUUCGAUGGACAGAACCUGAAGGAGCUGCGGGAGCGCGUCCUCAGAGGGAAGUACCGCAUUCCCUUCUACAUGUCCACCGACUGCGAGAACCUCCUCAAACGCUUCCUGGUCCUCAACCCGGCCAAGCGGGGUACUCUCGAGGUGAGGGAGGACGCCGAGAACCAAAUCAUGAAGGAUCGAUGGAUCAACGCCGGGUUUGAGGAGGACGAGCUGAAGCCGUACACGGAGCCGGAGCUGGACAUCACAGACCAGAAGAGAAUAGAUGUGAUGGUGGGGAUGGGCUACAAGCUGGAGGACAUCCAGGAAUCUCUGACCAAGAUGAAGUACGACCAGUUCACAGCCACCUACCUGCUGCUGGGCAGGAAGGCCUCUGAGCUGGAGCCCAGCGAGUCAGCCUCCAGCAGUAAUGCGUCUUUGGCCAAACCCAGACCUAGCAGCGAGCUCAACGGCCAGUCGCCAUCCCACCUCAAAGUCCAGAGAAGUGUUUCCUCCAACCACAAACAGAGACGAUACAGCGAGCAAGUCGGGCAGAACGUCCCUCCGGGGAUGACCCAUCCAAAGAGGAGUCAGACCACCACAGGGGAAAGCAACGCCAAGGAGGAGGCCGGCGUCCAGAAACCCAGCACCCCAGGCGGACGCGGCGCUCCCCCCUCCAGCCCUUUGCUGGGCAACGCCAACAACCCCAACAAGGCAGACAUCCCUGACCGCAGGAAAGGGGGCACCACCGGCCCCGCUACUAACUCGGCGUCAGCAGGCAUGACCCGCAGGAACACGUAUGUGUGCAGCGACAGGAACAACGCGGACCGCCUCUCCGUCAUUCCCAACGGGAAGGAGAACAGUGUCGCCGUGUCUCCUGGCGGGCAGAGGAACCCUGUGGCGUCCACCCACAGCAUCGCCAACAGCACCACACCCGACCGCCUCCGCUUCCCCCGAGGCACGGCCAGCCGCAGCACCUUCCACGGCGGCCAGCUGAGAGACCGCCGCACCGCCACGUACAACGGGCCCCCGGCCUCGCCCACGCUGUCACACGACGCCACGCCCCUGUCCCAAACCCGCAGCCGUGGAACCAGCAACCUCUUCUCCAAACUCACGUCUAAACUCACACGCAGAAACAUGUCAUUCAGGUUUACCAAAAGGGUCAGUAUUGACCCGGCCAAACGGCAGACGGCCAAAACGGGCUCUGUCAACCCCUCUACCCAGGGAGGAAAGACCCUUAAUUGGCGAGCAGAAGACAGUUGUAGGAAGAUGAAGAUGUAGAGUAAAGCUGGUUCAGUCCCUGCUGUCUGGCCUGGGGGGUCCCUGCCUGCCUCUCUUGGUCUUGUGAUCUUUGUUUUUCUCUCUCUCCGGCUGACUCAGGCCCUGCUGCUGCCGCUGUCUGCCCACUCUUCCUCUUGUUGUUGAGUCAGGAGUGUCCUCCUCCUCCUCCACCCGUCCUGUUUUCUGUCCUGCAGGGCAUGAUGGGAGCCCGCUCUCCCCCGUCCACUUAAACCAGGAACGUUUAGACUCCAGAGAAAGGGUAGGCGUGUCCCUGCGGCGUGCUGCGCUGCAGCAGAAAGGUGACGCUGCUUUGGCUUCACGCCACACAGACGUCGGAACGCAGGCUUCCUGUCUGCCGCCGCUCUGAAGAGCCGGCUGCGUUUGUGGUCCCGGACUUUCCAUGACUCAUGUUCUGAGCUUAGCUGCAGGUUUGGGCUCCGUGGGCGUCGUCCUAGUGACCCGCCGGCGUUUUCUUAUAUUCCUAGUUUUGCUGGGAGGUUUCCCUCGUGCUAAAGUGUCACAGAAGCUGCUCUGCUGAGUUUUGGCCGGUAACUCAAAUCCAAAGCGGACUUGGCUGUGAUUUAAUAACAAGAUAAAGUUCUGUUUCUGUGUCCGUCUGCACCGGCUCCCCUUCCUCCCACGGAUGUCACAGUGGUUCUGUUCUGGUUCUGUUGGUUUGGUUUUAGUCUUUUCCAAAAACGUUUCCAUUCCAGCAGCAGCAGCUUCCGUCCUGACAAACACCUCUGUGAUGUGACAUCACGAGGUUCAGGUCCAGAUCGGAGCGUCACCCUGACAGCUGUCCGUCACGUUUGUGGGCGGACCCUUCAGCGUUGAGGGUAGAAGCGGACUUCCCUCCCAGCCGUCCCUCCGUUGUCUGCUUGGCCGUGUGACCCGUGUUCACGGUGCCGCUCCGGCGUUUGAAAUCUGCUUCAACCGUGACGAAGCAGCAGGUUCUGCGUCUGCCGCCGUCUGUGCUGCCUCACCUUCUCAUCUUCCUCACUGCUCUCCACUUCCACGCGUUUCUUCUUCUUUUUAUUUGGGGGGGGGGGGGGGUGGUUUAGUGGUUCUCUCAGUUCUUUUUGCGUUCUGUAGAAUCGACCUUGUCUGGUUCUGAUCGAGCACAAUCCACAACCUUGUUUUUUUUCUCCCCUUCACGACCUCCCUCCCUCGCCACCGUGUCCGAUCUUCUCGUGCGCCCCAGAGUCUCCACAGAGUUUGAGAGAAACGGGAGACUUGAGGGCUCAAGUCGCCAUGUACCUGGGGAU